rnacentral:rRNA from 1 species
GAUGAACGCUAGCGAUAGGCUUAACACAUGCAAGUCGAGGGACCGGCGCACGGGUGCGUAACGCGUAUGCAACUCGCCUCACCGAGGGGGAUAACCCGUCGAGAUACGGACUACUACCGCGUACUGUGUGAUCGGCAUGCGUCAGAUUAUCUAGUUGGUGAGGUAACAGCUAACCAAUGCAACGAUGCGGAGGGGAACGGAGAGGUUGAACCCCCAGACUGGUACUAAGACCCGGACCAGACCCCUACGGGAGGCAGCAGAAAGGAAUAUUGGUCAAUGGGCGAGAGCCUGAACCAGCCAAGUCGCGUGAAGGAUGACUGUCUAUGGAUUGUAAACUUCUUUUGUAGGGGAAUAUGUACCCUACGAAUAAGCAUCGGCUAACUCCGUGCCAGCAGCCGCGGUAAUUC